GAUGAAGAACGUAGCGAAAUGCGAUAAGUAAUGUGAAUUGCAGAAUUCAGUGAAUCAUCGAAUCUUUGAACGCACAUUGCGCCCGCCAGUACUCUGGCGGGCAUGCCUGUUCGAGCGUCAUUUCAACCCCUCAAGCCCUGGGCUUGGUGUUGGGGAUCGACCUGGCCCCCCCCUCCGGGGGGGCGCGUCGGCCCUGAAAUUCAGUGGCGGUCCCGCCGCGGCCCCCUUUGCGCAGUAGCAAUACCUCGCACUGGAGAGCGGCGCGCCCACGCCCAACCCCCCCUAUACCUUCAUAGGUUGACCUCGAAUCAGGUAGGAAUACCCGCUGAACUUAAGCAUAUCAAUAAGCGGAGGA
rnacentral:misc_RNA from 1 species